UACGUAGGUGGCAAGCGUUGUCCGGAUUUACUGGGCGUAAAGAGCGCGCAGGCGGUCGUUCAAGUCGCGUGUGAAAGCCCCCGGCUCAACUGGGGAGGGUCAUUCGAUACUGAUCGACUCGAAGGCAGGAGAGGGUAGUGGAAUUCCCGGUGUAGUGGUGAAAUGCGUAGAUAUCGGGAGGAAUACCAGUGGCGAAGGCGGCUUCCUGGCCUGUUCUUGACGCUGAGGCGCGAAAGCUGGGGGGAGCAAACGGGG
rnacentral:rRNA from 1 species